rnacentral:rRNA from 1 species
UACGUAGGGUGCGAGCGUUGUCCGGAAUUAUUGGGCGUAAAGGGCUCGUAGGCGGUUUGUCGCGUCGGGCGUGAAAUCCACUGGCUUAACUGGUGGCUUGCUUUCGAUACGGGCAGACUGGAGGUAUGCAGGGGAGAACGGAAUUCCUGGUGUAGUGGUGGAAUGCGUAGAGAUCCGGAGGAACACCAGCGGCGAAGGCGGCAUCCUGGACUGGUCCUGACACUCAUGAGCGAAAGCGUGGGGAGCGAUCCGG